AACACAGCAAUAACCUAGUAUGAAAUAUUUUAGAAAUAAAAUCAUUCAUUAGUAACCUCUAAUUCUUUUUUUUCUUUUCUUUUCCUUUUCUUUUCUUGCAUUAUUUCUAUCUUAUUCAAUAAAACUGAA
rnacentral:ribozyme from 12 species